CCCGUGAGGCGGCGGGACCGGCCGGGAGCGAUCGGUGCUCUCAGCUGCCCCCAGGUGCUCUCAGGUGUGCCCAGGACCCCCCCCAGGACGCCCCCCCGGCCUCACCGGCACCGUGGAAGUGGAGUGUGAGGAGGAGGAGGAGGGCCCCGCGCACACAGGUGCCGCGGCGCAGGUGAG